GACGAACGCUGGCGGCGUGCCUAAUACAUGCAAGUCGAGCGAAUGACGAGAAGCUUGCUUCUCUGAUUUAGCGGCGGACGGGUGAGUAACACGUGGGCAACCUGCCCUACAGAUUGGGAUAACUCAGGGAAACCUGGGCUAAUACCGGAUAAUCCUUCGAAUCACAUGUUUUGAAGUUGAAAGGCGCUUCGGCGUCACUGUAGGAUGGGCCCGCGGUGCAUUAGCUAGUUGGUGGGGUAACGGCCUACCAAGGCAACGAUGCAUAGCCGACCUGAGAGGGUGAUCGGCCACAUUGGGACUGAGACACGGCCCAAACUCCUACGGGAGGCAGCAGUAGGGAAUCUUCCACAAUGGACGAAAGUCUGAUGGAGCAACGCCGCGUGAGUGAUGAAGGUUUUCGGAUCGUAAGACUCUGUUGUAAGGGAAGAACAAGUACGUUAGGAAAUGAACGUACCUUGACGGUACCUUAUUAGAAAGCCACGGCUAACUACGUGCCAGCAGCCGCCGUAA
rnacentral:rRNA from 1 species